rnacentral:rRNA from 1 species
GACGGAGCGAAGCGACGUCAAACCGAUAAAACAGCAGUGUAAAGUGAGCCGCAGGGCGCUUUGCGCGACAGCGCAAAGGCAGGCGGUUUCGCGUAGCGAAAGCGAAUGCUUUGGGGUGGGGUGACUGCGUACCUUUUGUAUAAUGGGUCAGCGACUUAUAUUCUGUAGCAAGGUUAACCGAAUAGGGGAGCCGGAGGGAAACCGAGUCUUAAUUGGGCGUUAAGUUGCAGGGUAUAGACCCGAAACCCGGUGAUCUAGCCAUGGGCAGGUUGAAGGUUGGGUAACACUAACUGGAGGACCGAACCGACUAAUGUUGAAAAAUUAGCGGAUGACCUGUGGCUGGGGGUGAAAGGCCAAUCAAACCGGGAGAUAGCUGGUUCUCCCCGAAAGCUAUUUAGGUAGCGCCUCGUGAAUUCAUCUCCGGGGGUAGAGCACUGUUUCGGCUAGGGGGCCAUCCCGGCUUACCAACCCGAUGCAAACUGCGAAUACCGGAGAAUGUUAUCACGGGAGACACACGGCGGGUGCUAACGUCCGUCGUGAAGAGGGAAACAACCCAGACCGCCAGCUAAGGUCCCAAAGUCAUGGUUAAGUGGGAAACGAUGUGGGAAGGCCCAGACAGCCAGGAUGUUGGCUUAGAAGCAGCCAUCAUUUAAAGAAAGCGUAAUAGCUCACUGGUCGAGUCGGCCUGCGCGGAAGAUGUAACGGGGCUAAACCAUGCACCGAAGCUGCGGCAGCGACACUGUGUGUUGUUGGGUAGGGGAGCGUUCUGUAAGCCUGCGAAGGUGGCCUGUGAGGGUUGCUGGAGGUAUCAGAAGUGCGAAUGCUGACAUAAGUAACGAUAAAGCGGGUGAAAAGCCCGCUCGCCGGAAGACCAAGGGUUCCUGUCCAACGUUAAUCGGGGCAGGGUGAGUCGACCCCUAAGGCGAGGCCGAAAGGCGUAGUCGAUGGGAAACGGGUUAAUAUUCCCGUACUUGGUGUUACUGCGAAGGGGGGACGGAGAAGGCUAUGUUGGCCGGGCGACGGUUGUCCCGGUUUAAGCGUGUAGGUGUGUGUUCCAGGUAAAUCCGGUUCACUUUAACACUGAGGCGUGACGACGAGGCACUACGGUGCUGAAGCAACAAAUGCCCUGCUUCCAGGAAAAGCCUCUAAGCAUCAGGUAACAUCAAAUCGUACCCCAAACCGACACAGGUGGUCAGGUAGAGAAUACCAAGGCGCUUGAGAGAACUCGGGUGAAGGAACUAGGCAAAAUGGUGCCGUAACUUCGGGAGAAGGCACGCUGACACGUAGGUGAAGUGAUUUACUCAUGGAGCUGAAGUCAGUCGAAGAUACCAGCUGGCUGCAACUGUUUAUUAAAAACACAGCACUGUGCAAACACGAAAGUGGACGUAUACGGUGUGACGCCUGCCCGGUGCCGGAAGGUUAAUUGAUGGGGUCAGCGCAAGCGAAGCUCCUGAUCGAAGCCCCGGUAAACGGCGGCCGUAACUAUAACGGUCCUAAGGUAGCGAAAUUCCUUGUCGGGUAAGUUCCGACCUGCACGAAUGGCGUAAUGAUGGCCAGGCUGUCUCCACCCGAGACUCAGUGAAAUUGAACUCGCUGUGAAGAUGCAGUGUACCCGCGGCAAGACGGAAAGACCCCGUGAACCUUUACUAUAGCUUGACACUGAACAUUGAGCCUUGAUGUGUAGGAUAGGUGGGAGGCUUUGAAGUGUGGACGCCAGUCUGCAUGGAGCCGACCUUGAAAUACCACCCUUUAAUGUUUGAUGUUCUAACGUGGACCCGUUACCCGGGUUGCGGACAGUGUCUGGUGGGUAGUUUGACUGGGGCGGUCUCCUCCUAAAGAGUAACGGAGGAGCACGAAGGUUGGCUAAUCCUGGUCGGACAUCAGGAGGUUAGUGCAAUGGCAUAAGCCAGCUUGACUGCGAGCGUGACGGCGCGAGCAGGUGCGAAAGCAGGUCAUAGUGAUCCGGUGGUUCUGAAUGGAAGGGCCAUCGCUCAACGGAUAAAAGGUACUCCGGGGAUAACAGGCUGAUACCGCCCAAGAGUUCAUAUCGACGGCGGUGUUUGGCACCUCGAUGUCGGCUCAUCACAUCCUGGGGCUGAAGUAGGUCCCAAGGGUAUGGCUGUUCGCCAUUUAAAGUGGUACGCGAGCUGGGUUUAGAACGUCGUGAGACAGUUCGGUCCCUAUCUGCCGUGGGCGCUGGAGAACUGAGGGGGGCUGCUCCUAGUACGAGAGGACCGGAGUGGACGCAUCACUGGUGUUCGGGUUGUCAUGCCAAUGGCACUGCCCGGUAGCUAAAUGCGGAAGAGAUAAGUGCUGAAAGCAUCUAAGCACGAAACUUGCCCCGAG